rnacentral:rRNA from 1 species
GACGGAGGGUGCAAGCGUUGUUCGGAUUGACUGGGCGUAAAGGGCGUGUAGGCGGUUGGUCAAGUCUGGUGUGAAAGCCCGGGGCUUAGCCUCGGAAGUGCAUCGGAAACUAGCCAGCUGGAGUGCGAUAGAGGAGGGUGGAAUUCCUGGUGUAGCGGUGAAAUGCGUAGAUAUCAGGAGGAACACCGGCGGCGAAGGCGGCCCUCUGGAUCGUUACUGACGCUGAGACGCGAAAGCGUGGGGAGCAAACAGG